AUGGUUUUAAAGCACUGCACUAAUGGUACCAGACUUCUUUUUUUCUACUUAUCAGUUUGCGUUUGAUUUUUGUACCUAAAUUUUGAACAAUGGAGAUAACCAGGUUAUUUUAUGGCCACAUAAACACACCAGAACCUGAAAAAUACUACUCUUGAUGUUUGCUGUAUAAUUUACCAAGAUUCCUCAUCCAAAAGCUCCACCCCUGCAACUGGCUUGCCAGAGAAAAGUGGAAAUUUCCAGUCAUUCCUUCUGCUUUGCAAGAAAUGCUCCUCCUCCUUCUAGUUUCCCGCCUUUCCGCCUACCUGCUCC